UAGAAUGUAGUUGUUUAGAUGUGAGAUGAUCAUGGCACGAGGUAGUGAAUAGCACCGCGUAGUAAUUGUGGUAUAUCUAUAACAAUAUGGCGUUUUGUAAUAGUGUUAGGCUGGUCGAGGCUUUGACUCUGAGUUUGAGCGUGCAGCUAGCUAGCUGCAGACAACACGUCUUUUCAAUUUUCUGCGAUGGCGUGCAGUGCACGGCACAGUAGCGUUUACUGUUGAACCUGGCUGAUACUGGAGUUUCUCCGACAUCCUAUUUGGGUAGCUGAAGGUCAGCUGCGAAACAAGAUCAGCGAAAGAUCAGGGAUAUCCCAUAACUGCAUCUUGAAAUACUGCAAUAUCUGCCAGUCAACAGUACGUUGAUGGAUAGGGACAGUGUCAGGAAAGGGAUAUUUCACAUGUAUCUGGAAGUAGUGCAGUAUCUGCCAGACAACAGAUCAUUGGUGGAUGGAGAUGUUAUUUGAAAGAUCCGGAAUAUUUCACAAGCAUCUGGAAGUGCUGCAGUAUGACUAAAUCAACGGAUCACUGGAAGACAGGGAUUUCUUUUGAAAGUUCCGGAAUAUUUCACAAGCAUCUCGAAGUACUGCAAUGUGAUCUAGUCCACAGAUCACUGGUGGAUUGGAAUAUCUUUUGAAAGUUCCGGAAUAUUUCACAAGCAUCUCGAAGUACUGCAAUGUGAUGUAGUCCACAGAACACUGGUGGAUGGGACUAUCUUUUGAAAGAUGGGUAAUAUUUCACAAGCAUGUGGAAGUGGUGCAGUAUGACUAAGUCAACGGAUCACUGGAAGACAGGGAUUUCUUUUGAAAGGUGUGCGUGUGUGUAUGAUUCGAUAUGGUCUGCUGUGUGGCGCGAGGUUCCUCUUGAGAACAACCUUGUCUUCCACAGUCCAUUUCCUCUACACACAAUGCCAGUUCAAGUCUGUCAAGUAGUCAAAGAACACCACCAGAAGCUGGAGCAGAAAGUUGCCGUGAGUUGUGCUAUAUCCGUAUUGCAAAUACUCUGGAGCAUUCCGGUAUAAAAUGGUUGUAGAAUGAUCAAGUAGAGUAGAGUGCUGAGGAAGAUGACCAUUGUUGAUUUUGAAAGCUGGCUUUGCUCCUUGUGGUUGUUAGGCUAUUUUACUUCAAAGUGUUUGUUUCCUAUUUUGCAAUUUUGGUCCGAGUUUUCGGUCGGGUCAAUAAUCAACUUUGCUUUGUAGUGUUUUCAUGAGAUAGAAAUAUGGCUGCAGGGAUACAGUCAACUUCGCUAAUAACGACUUCGGAUAUAACGACAAUUCGCGAAUAACGACAGCAUUUCCAUGCCCAGAGCAAAGUCCCAUCUGACUGUAUACAUUUAACUUCGGAUAUAACGACUAUCUGAAUAACGACAAUUCGCGAAUAGCGACAUGAUUUUAGUGCCCCGAGGUCAUAUUCACUGCUUGAAUAACGACUUUCUGGCUUUUUGACAGCUAUUUCAAGUACCUGUCAAGUGUCAUGCAGAAGUACCAGAACCCGUGGCGAUGGAUAAGGCACACAUACAUGUACAAGAAGAUACAGCCAGGGGGGGGGGGGGGGGGGUGCUUUUUCUUUUUUCUUUUCUUCAAAAUAGUUGGAAUGAUCAGCACACCUAUGUUGUACAUGAUUGCACAUUAAUCUUCAUACAUGUACAUGAACAUGUCCCUGCAGAUGGCUCCAAAAGGUUAAUUUUUCAAUAUAUUUCCCUUGGAUAUUGACUUUAUUGUUCCUUUCAAUUGCAAUACGAAAGUAAAGUACAAAUUGACGUAGAGCAUGAAAAGAGCUUCAUUUCGAUAUGCAUGUCAUACUAUACAAAAUAUGGGUUCACAUACAUUCAAAUGGGACUUCGGAUAUAACGACACUUCGCGAAUAAGGACACUUUUCUGAUGCCCCGCCGAAUGUCGUUAUUCGCAAAGUUGACUGUACAUGUAUUUACUGACAAAGAUGAAUCUUAGGUAGCUCAGCUAGAUUCACAAGGUUUAGCUAGAUACUGGAAUUUCUGCCCUCUCAUGAUUUAAUCACAUUUUUGCUGAUACUCACAGUGCCUGUUUCUGCAUACCUUACUAUACCCUGCUCAAAGUGCUGCUGUGCUAUGCAUGUGGAAACUUUCCAUAUGCGUUUCAGUUUGUUGCCAGUACUAUAGUAUCGCUAGACUUUGAUAUGCAUUGAUUUUGUUCAUGACUGCCUACAUAACAACUUGUUAGUAUGGACAGUUAGUAUGGACUUCAAUCAGAUACAUGUACACGUAUACGUGAUUGCUUCUCUCUGA